rnacentral:rRNA from 1 species
GGUUAAGCGAACAAGCGUACACGGUGGAUGCCCUGGCAGUCAGAGGCGAUGAAGGACGUGCUAAUCUGCGAAAAGCGCCGGUAAGGUGAUAUGAACCGUUAUAACCGGCGAUGUCCGAAUGGGGAAACCCGGUGCACUUCGGUGCAUCAUCGUUAGCUGAAUACAUAGGCUAACGAGGCGAACCGGGGGAACUGAAACAUCUAAGUACCCCGAGGAAAAGAAAUCAACCGAGAUUCCCCCAGUAGCGGCGAGCGAACGGGGAACAGCCCAGAGCCUGAAUCAGCUUGUGUGUCAGUGGAACGGUCUGGAAAGGCCGGCGAUACAGGGUGACAGCCCCGUACACGAAGGCACACAGGCUGUGAGCUCGAUGAGUAGGGCGGGACACGUGAUAUCCUGUCUGAAGAUGGGGGGACCAUCCUCCAAGGCUAAAUACUCCUGACUGACCGAUAGUGAACCAGUACCGUGAGGGAAAGGCGAAAAGAACCCCGGCGAGGGGAGUGAAACAGAACCUGAAACCGUGUACGUACAAGCAGUGGGAGCCUUCGUAAGAGGGUGACUGCGUACCUUUUGUAUAAUGGGUCAGCGACUUAUAUUCUGUAGCAAGGUUAACCGUAUAGGGGAGCCGAAGGGAAACCGAGUCUUAAUUGGGCGUUAAGUUGCAGGGUAUAGACCCGAAACCCGGUGAUCUAGCCAUGGGCAGGUUGAAGGUUGGGUAACACUAACUGGAGGACCGAACCGACUAAUGUUGAAAAAUUAGCGGAUGACCUGUGGCUGGGGGUGAAAGGCCAAUCAAACCGGGAGAUAGCUGGUUCUCCCCGAAAGCUAUUUAGGUAGCGCCUCGUGAACUCAUCUCCGGGGGUAGAGCACUGUUUCGGCUAGGGGGCCAUCCCGGCUUACCAACCCGAUGCAAACUGCGAAUACCGGAGAAUGUUAUCACGGGAGACACACGGCGGGUGCUAACGUCCGUCGUGAAGAGGGAAACAACCCAGACCGCCAGCUAAGGUCCCAAAGUCAUGGUUAAGUGGGAAACGAUGUGGGAAGGCCCAGACAGCCAGGAUGUUGGCUUAGAAGCAGCCAUCAUUUAAAGAAAGCGUAAUAGCUCACUGGUCGAGUCGGCCUGCGCGGAAGAUGUAACGGGGCUAAACCAUGCACCGAAGCUGCGGCAGCGACGCUUAUGCGUUGUUGGGUAGGGGAGCGUUCUGUAAGCCUGCGAAGGUGUGCUGUGAGGCAUGCUGGAGGUAUCAGAAGUGCGAAUGCUGACAUAAGUAACGAUAAAGCGGGUGAAAAGCCCGCUCGCCGGAAGACCAAGGGUUCCUGUCCAACGUUAAUCGGGGCAGGGUGAGUCGACCCCUAAGGCGAGGCCGAAAGGCGUAGUCGAUGGGAAACAGGUUAAUAUUCCUGUACUUGGUGUUACUGCGAAGGGGGGACGGAGAAGGCUAUGUCGGCCGGGCGACGGUUGUCCCGGUUUAAGCGUGUAGGCUGACUUUCCAGGCAAAUCCGGAAAGUUAAGGCUGAGGCGUGAUGACGAGGCACUACGGUGCUGAAGUGACAAAUGCCCUGCUUCCAGGAAAAGCCUCUAAGCAUCAGGUAACAUCAAAUCGUACCCCAAACCGACACAGGUGGUCAGGUAGAGAAUACCAAGGCGCUUGAGAGAACUCGGGUGAAGGAACUAGGCAAAAUGGUGCCGUAACUUCGGGAGAAGGCACGCUGACAUGUAGGUGAAGCCCCUGCGGGUGGAGCUGAAGUCAGUCGAAGAUACCAGCUGGCUGCAACUGUUUAUUAAAAACACAGCACUGUGCAAACACGAAAGUGGACGUAUACGGUGUGACGCCUGCCCGGUGCCGGAAGGUUAAUUGAUGGGGUUAUCGCAAGAGAAGCUCCUGAUCGAAGCCCCGGUAAACGGCGGCCGUAACUAUAACGGUCCUAAGGUAGCGAAAUUCCUUGUCGGGUAAGUUCCGACCUGCACGAAUGGCGUAAUGAUGGCCAGGCUGUCUCCACCCGAGACUCAGUGAAAUUGAACUCGCUGUGAAGAUGCAGUGUACCCGCGGCAAGACGGAAAGACCCCGUGAACCUUUACUACAGCUUGACACUGAACAUUGAGCCUUGAUGUGUAGGAUAGGUGGGAGGCUUUGAAGCGUGGACGCCAGUCUGCGUGGAGCCGACCUUGAAAUACCACCCUUUAAUGUUUGAUGUUCUAACCUGGCGCCGUGAUCCGGCGUGGGGACAGUGUCUGGUGGGUAGUUUGACUGGGGCGGUCUCCUCCCAAAGUGUAACGGAGGAGCACGAAGGUCAGCUAAUCCUGGUCGGACAUCAGGAGGUUAGUGCAAUGGCAUAAGCUGGCUUGACUGCGAGAGUGACGGCUCGAGCAGGUGCGAAAGCAGGUCAUAGUGAUCCGGUGGUUCUGUAUGGAAGGGCCAUCGCUCAACGGAUAAAAGGUACUCCGGGGAUAACAGGCUGAUACCGCCCAAGAGUUCAUAUCGACGGCGGUGUUUGGCACCUCGAUGUCGGCUCAUCACAUCCUGGGGCUGAAGUAGGUCCCAAGGGUAUGGCUGUUCGCCAUUUAAAGUGGUACGCGAGCUGGGUUUAGAACGUCGUGAGACAGUUCGGUCCCUAUCUGCCGUGGGCGCUGGAGAAUUGAGGGGGGCUGCUCCCAGUACGAGAGGACCGGAGUGGACGCAUCACUGGUGUUCGGGUUGUCAUGCCAAUGGCACUGCCCGGUAGCUAAAUGCGGAAGAGAUAAGUGCUGAAAGCAUCUAAGCACGAAACUUGCCCCGAGAUGAGUUCUCCCUGAGACUAUAAGUCUCCUGAAGGAACGUUGAAGACGACGACGUUGAUAGGCCGGGUGUGUAAGCGCAGCGAUGCGUUGAGCUAACCGGUACUAAUGAACCGUGAGGCUUAACCUU